GUCUGUCGCUCCGUCCAGCGGGACGUAGAGGAAAGUCCGGGCAACAAAGAGCACCGCAUUUUUUAACGGAAAGCCGGCAGCGAUGUCGGGGAUAAUGUGACAGAAAACAACCGCCGGGACCGGCAACGGCCCCGGUAAGGGUGAAAAGGCGGGGUAAGAGCCCACCGGGAUGCCGGGUGACCGGCGUCGCCGCACAUCCUGCGGGUUGCAAGGCCAAAUAUACCGGCAGUCAAGGGCUGCUCGUCCAUUGCCGGGGGGUAGGCUGCUAUAACGUGCCGGGCAACCGGCCGUAAAGAUAAAUGACAGACACGGCUCACGCCGUACAUAACCCGGCUUACAACGUCUC
rnacentral:RNase_P_RNA from 1 species